UCAGACUAAGGAGGAAUACUGGGCUCCUUGGACCAAGCAAAAUAAGCUGACCUUUGAAGAGAACAGAUCUUGAGGGGGAUCUGUAGAUGGACACAGGGAGAUUCCAGGUGCCUCAGAGGGAUCAACUUGCAGUUCCAAGUUGUCCUCAGGGAAAUCUUGCCAUUUUUUGGGAUAAUGAACUGAAUUCUCAUCACAGUGGAAUACGUAUCAUCGGAAGGGAUUUUUAAAGGGCAGGGUGAGAAGUGGAUUGAGAAUUUCGCAUAGCACCAAGGUUAAACAGAAGCCAACUACGAAACAAAGCCAGAAGGGCACUCAAGCAAAUAAUCAAAAUCAAAUCCUUACCACGCUGCCAGGGACCGAUAUAUCCAGAGCAUGGGACCAGGAGCUGGACUCACGGUGGGAUCUCUGAUCAGUCACAGAAGGAGCUUGACGAGCUCAUGGGGUCUCUCUCCCUAGGUGGAGAAGACAGGGCUCCAAAUGGACUUCCAGUCCCAUCCACGUCACAGAGGCAAAUUGUCAGAGACAAAGACCUAAGCCGGUCCUUUUCCAGGAGUAAAUGACCAUCGUGCGCCCAUGGGAAGAGUGCUGCAUCCACGGAGGACAUGGGCCAACAGUGCUCUCAAAUGGGUUUCAUGAAAGCAUCUGUGACUCAUCCCUGUUCAAGAAUGUUUUCAUUACGAUUCAGCAGAAGCGAUGUGCCAGGUCAGCAAAUACAACUGCAAAACCGGGGCCUGCCAGCCUGGCCAACACAGCAAGACCCC
rnacentral:lncRNA from 10 species